AGCGAACGCUGGCGGCAGGCCUAACACAUGCAAGUCGAACGAACCUUUCGGGGUUAGUGGCGGACGGGUGAGUAACACGUGGGAACGUGCCUUUAGGUUCGGAAUAACUCAGGGAAACUUUUGCUAAUACCGAAUGUGCCCUUCGGGGGAAAGAUUAAUCGCCUUUAGAGCGGCCCGCGUCUGAUUAGCUAGUUGGUUGAGGUAAUGGCUCACCAAGGCGACGAUCAGUAGCUGGUCUGAGAGGAUGAUCAGCCACAUUGGGACUGAGACACGGCCCAAACUCCUACGGGAGGCAGCAGUGGGGAAUCUUGCGCAAUGGGCGAAAGCCUGACGCAGCCAUGCCGCGUGAAUGAUGAAGGUCUUAGGAUUGUAAAAUUCUUUCACCGGGGACGAUAAUGACGGUACCCGGAGAAGAAGCCCCGGCUAACUUCGUG
rnacentral:rRNA from 1 species